UACGAAGGGGGCUAGCGUUGCUCGGAAUCACUGGGCGUAAAGCGUGCGCAGGCGGCUAUGCAAGACAGAUGUGAAAUCCCCGGGCUCAACCUGGGAACUGCAUUUGUGACUGCAUAGCUAGAGUACGGUAGAGGGGGAUGGAAUUCCGCGUGUAGCAGUGAAACUGCGUAGAUAUGCGGAGGAACACCGAUGGCGAAGGCAAUCCCCUGGACCUGUACUGACGCUCAUGCGACGAAAGCGUGGGGAGCCAAAC
rnacentral:rRNA from 1 species